GAUCAUUAGAUUUAUCAUUUUGUUAAGUGUAGGCCUAUUGACACUGUUUCAUUGUCAUGAAAGAUGCAGUAUUCGACCAAAAGAGAUCCAAAAAUAUAUUCAGUGCAUGCAGUUUUAUCAAGUGUGGAAAAAUCAAUAUAUGUAUUUAAAAUACAAGUUUGAGGUGAUUGUAGAGAGUUUACUGCUGCACACGAGAGGAACACUGUUACACAACUAACCAGUGACUAUAUGACACUAAUGAAACACUCUUUUAAGAUGUCCUGUAGAGCUGAUGUGGUUAGAGAUACAGAAGGGGAAGGAAAUGUUAAUAUCAGUUGCUGAUGCUGCACAUCAUUCACUCAGUACGGAAGAGCACGAGAGUAACGUUUGUCACACAGAAUUUGGUCUUUUAUUUUAUAUAAACUCUUGUCAAAGUUGAUCAUGUGGGACGUUUUGCUGCUCUUUUCCAGCAUCUGUACAGCUGUUGUUGUAGGAGCUCCAGAUACAGUUACAGGACACAGAGGAGAGAGAGUUGAGAUCAGAUGCUCAUAUGAAUCUGGAUAUCAAUCAAAUUCAAAGUAUUUUUGUAAAGGAGACUGUAAAUAUGCAACGGUUAAAUCAUGAUCUCCAGCUAAAGGCGAGAGAUUCUCUCUGACUGACGACACGACGAACAGAGUUUUCACCAUCACUAUCACUGAUCUGAGAACAGAGGAUGAAGGACAAUACAGGUGUGCUGUGGAGAGGAGAGGUCCUGAUGACUAUUCAGAGAUUUUGUUGCUGCUUAAACUUAAUCCUCCAAAAAGUGUCUCAGUGUCCAUCAGUCCAUCUGGUGAAAUAGUGUCAGGAGAUUCAGUGACUCUGAUCUGCAGCAGUGAUUCAAACCCUCCUGCAGAAAUCAGCUGGUUUAAAGGAGGAACGUUUGUAGGAUCUGGAAGAAUCUACAGCAUCUC